rnacentral:rRNA from 1 species
UUUUCCCCCGGGAAAAUUAAGCAUAUUAGUAGGCAGAGGAACCCCAUCAAACUUGGAUUUUGUAAGUAGUUGCGAAUGAACACAAAUUUGAUCACUUUGGCAAUCUGUACACAUUGCUGUGUAACAAUUUGUAUACGUUGGCACAGUGCUAUCAAAGCUGCAUGCAAGUGUUUUUUGAAAGGAUACAACAUGGGAUGUGAUAUUCAUGUGUGUGUGCCUGCUUUGUCCACAGCCUGUGCUGUAUGAAUCACAUUUCUUGCAACUGAAAUGCUAAUGGCAUGGUAAAGUUCAUGUGACAUGACACAAGCUUGAGAUUCAUGAUGUGCAAGUACCAUGAGGGAAAUGUGAAAAGGACUUUGGAAAGAGAAUUAAAUAAAGCCUGCAUUUGCUGACAAUGAAAGCAAGUGUGGAUGUUCAUGUAAUUGUUACUGCAUCAAUCAAUGUUCAUCUUGGUUACUGCAUGCUUUAUAUUACAGCUCAGAACAUGAAGUGUGUGUAACAGCUCUGCUUUGAUUUUUCCCACAUGGGAUCAGUUGAAACAUUGUGAGAGCACUCUUCAGUUUCCUUAUGUACCCACCAGCUUUGUCCACUCGCGUGUUGGCACACAUGUAAUGAUGAUGUGUUUAUGCAAGAUACUUCUGUGCUCAACAACAUGUUGUGUCAAUCCUCACUUGACCCGUCUUGAACGGGAACCAAGGGAAA